rnacentral:tRNA from 1 species
GCCCGAACGAGCUUCAGUGGUCUGGAGUGCAGGCUUCAAACCUGUAGCUGACUGACGUCAGAGUGGUUCAAUUCCACCUUUCGGGCG